GUUUUGCUUGAAUAUGAACAUCAAGCAGAGUGGAGACUGCUCCACCAGCAGGAAGUGGACUACAGCGCAGGGCAUUCUGGGUAAAUGCAACCAAA